AUUGAACGCUGGCGGCAUGCCUUACACAUGCAAGUCGAACGGCAGCACGGGAGCAAUCCUGGUGGCGAGUGGCGAACGGGUGAGUAAUAUAUCGGAACGUGCCCAGUCGUGGGGGAUAACGCAGCGAAAGCUGUGCUAAUACCGCAUACGAUCUAAGGAUGAAAGCGGGGGAUCGCAAGACCUCGCGCGAUUGGAGCGGCCGAUAUCAGAUUAGCUAGUUGGUGGGGUAAAGGCCCACCAAGGCGACGAUCCGUAGCUGGUCUGAGAGGACGACCAGCCACACUGGAACUGAGACACGGUCCAGACUCCUACGGGAGGCAGCAGUGGGGAAUUUUGGACAAUGGGCGCAAGCCUGAUCCAGCAAUGCCGCGUGCAGGAUGAAGGCCUUCGGGUUGUAAACUGCUUUUGUACGGAACGAAACGGCCCUUUCUAAUACAGGGGGCUAAUGACGGUACCGUAAGAAUAAGCACCGGCUAACUACGUGCCAGCAGCCGCGGUAAAAC
rnacentral:rRNA from 1 species